rnacentral:rRNA from 1 species
AGAAACGAAGUGAGCAGUGGAAAACAGGAAAGACAAGAAACAACUGCGCGAGUACCCGUCCCGUCUGUCCCGCGGCCGCUUCCCUCCCCCUCCCACCCUCUUCCUUCCACCCGGAUCUUGCGCGCGGCGGAGAUAACACCGAGCCACCUCUUCAGCCCUCUCAUCCGCGCGGAUGAGCGGCGGCUCGGCCCCCCUCCCCUACUCGAUGCGAGAUGUGGAUGGCGGCGCAUACAACAACGCCAAGUUCCGCCAACGAUCUCGCCUCAAGAUGGUUACCCAGGCUCUUAUUUCUAAGAGCAGCAAAUACCAAUUUGGAAAAUUCACCCUUGGGAAAUUCUUGAGUCUUCUAAUGGUUUCUGGCUUAAUAUACUUGCUUGCGCACAAAAGUUCGAAGGGUUUUGUAUCUGGUGAGCUCCAUGACAAAGAAGUAGAGAGUAGACAUGCCAGUAAAGAUUCUCCCACUAUCCGUACAUUCUGGAGAAAGCCACCAAGGCUACCUCCACGUCUUCCUCCAAAUGAAAUAUAUAAGAACAGUUCAACACUUCACCACCCCACUUCAUCUGAAUGGACAUCCAGGCAGAAGAAAGUUAAAGAAGCAUUCGAACAUGCAUGGUCUGGCUACCGAAAUUAUGCGAUGGGUCAUGAUGAGCUUAUGCCUUUGAGCCGCAGAGGUGUAGACGGAUUAGGAGGUCUAGGUGCUACUGUUGUGGAUUCUUUAGACACUGCAAUAAUAAUGGGUGCUGACGAUAUUGUGUCUGAAGCAUCAAAAUGGAUUGAAGACAACCUAAUGAAAAAGAUCAGCGAGAAAGGGCAGGUCAACUUAUUUGAAACCACUAUCCGUGUCUUGGGAGGGCUUCUUAGUGCAUAUCAUUUGAGUGGUGGAGACCAAGCAGGAGGAGGUGAUUCUGGGAUAGCAGUAACACCUAACAAGACUAAUCCAGAUCGUCUUCUGGCAGUCUCAAAGGAUUUAGCAGACAGAUUAUUGUUAGCUUUUACAUCAAGUCCAUCGGCUAUACCUUUUAGUGAUGUUGUUCUUCGUGAUCGUUCUGCACAUGCAUCCCCUGAUGGCUUAAGCAGUACCUCUGAGGCUACAACAUUGCAACUGGAGUUCAGUUACCUUAGCAGAAUAUCAGGAGAUCCAAAGUAUGACUCAGAGACAAUGAAGGUGUUAGAGCAUAUGCGAACACUCCCAACAGUGGAGGGUUUGGUGCCUAUUUAUAUUAAGUAUGCAUGGCUUCAACCCUUAUGUAUCUUUCCCUACUCUGGACAGUUUAGCGGAGAGAAUAUUCGACUAGGGUCGCGUGGUGACAGUUACUAUGAGUACCUAUUAAAAGUUUGGAUUCAGCAAGAAAAUUAUCGUAACACUAGCUUGAAGUAUCUAUUUGAAAUGUAUACGGAAGCAAUGAAAGGGGUCAGGCAUCUUCUUGUUCGGAAAACUACUCCAAAUGGGCUAGUUUUUGUUGGGGAGCUUCCCAGUGGACGAAAUGGUGCUUUUAGCCCUAAAAUGGAUCACCUGGUUUGUUUUCUUCCUGGCACCCUUGCUCUGGGUGCAACAAAGGGUAUCACUAAGAAAAAGGCUCUUGAAAGUAAUCUUCUAACUAAGGAAGACAUAGAAAAUCUUCAGCUUGCUGAAGAUCUGGCUAAAACUUGUGUUGAGAUGUACUUUGUGACUUCUACUGGACUUGCUCCUGAAAUUGCUUAUUUUCACAUUGAGGGUAAUCCUGAAGGUGGACCUGAUGGUGGGAACAAAAGUUCUGAAUAUAUUAGUGACAUCAUAAUCAAGCCUCUUGAUCGUCACAACCUUUUACGCCCAGAGACUGUGGAAUCCCUAUUUGUUUUGCAUAGAAUCACAGAGGAUCCAAAGUAUAGGGAGUGGGGUUGGCAAAUUUUUCAGGCCUUUGAGAAGUAUACAAAAGUUGAUUCUGGUGGUUAUACUUCACUGGAUGAUGUCACAAGCCUACCUCCACCUAGGAGAGACAAAAUGGAAACCUUCUUCCUGGGGGAAACAUUGAAGUACCUGUAUUUGCUGUUUGGUGAAAGUAAUAUUCUUCCACUGGACAAGUAUGUAUUUAAUACUGAGGCCCACCCACUUCCGGUCAUUCGGUCUGUGGUACAGGUUUCUAAUACCGUAUAGCAUCAAAUGUAUCACUGUUGUACUUAGUGUACUAAGAUGAGAAAGGUUAACUAACAGAAAUGUGAGAAAUCUUAGAACUUUGUUUUGGACAACCAGGCUGAAACAAUGAGUAGCUUUCUCCUUUCUGGAUGUUUGUGCUUGUGCCACAGGUGGUUCAAGUGGCAAGAAAAUCGUUCUUGGAAGCAAAGCUCAAAUAUUUGUCAUCUUAAUAGUUUGAUACAGAGAUCUGCACUUGUAUUUAUUGGAAGAUCAUAUAUCUUCUCUAAACUGUGCAAUCCAUUCCAAUUCUGAAAUUACUUCAUGGCACCACCAAGAUUUUUAUCUUUGUUAUAUCUACUAUCAUGUGUCAGCCGUCCAACCUCAUAUAAUGUCCCACCAAGUUGGACUAUGCCUACCUGGUGAGUGAAACUAUGGCUCUAUAUCUUAUUAUUAUCUCCAGUUGUUGCUCAUUCCUAGCCCUUUUUGUACAUGCUUCUCGUUUUUAUUUGUUGUAUUAUGGUGGGUACUUUAAAUGCUUGGUUCUAAAAAUAUUUUGAUAUCUUCAAACUGGAUAAUCCUGAUUUACAUCCUUCAUUAGUGGCCACCAAAAAUAGUUUUUUUUGCGGGUGACCAAGAAUAUUUGUUACUAUAACUUUAUGAUACCCUAGUUCAACAGUUAUCUCUUGAUACCGCUGACUGCUGACUGCUGACUGUUUCCAGUUUUGAAAUAGCAAAUCGUACUAGUUUCUGCCAAUUACAUCAUUUUGUCAUUCAGUUCUAGUGCCAGAUUUUGAUUAUAUUUCAUAAAAGAAUGUUUUGUGUCUCCCUGCAUUUGUAUACCAUACAAUUUCUUGGUACUGAUCAGCCUAUUCUUUCUAAGAUUUUAUCAGGCGUCCGAAUUUCAUUUCCGCAUGACCUGAAGUAAAUGAACCAUGUGUACCAUCUUGAUAAUAGUUUUGACUUGUGAUAGGAUAAUCUAGUGUUCAAGCUGUGUUGUUUGUUCAUCAUAUGCAUUUAAACAGAAUAAGUAUUGUGAUAUAUACAACUCUCAGAUUUGGCAUGCUUGUACUUUGCUGUUUAUGCCUGUAAUAAUGACUGGAAAUUCUUCUGCUGUCAGAUUGUUGAAUAUUUUAUGGUGCUGAUGAAUUCGUGGUUACGUUUUGUCUCCAUUUUCCAAUUUGCAUCACUCUAAUUUUCCAUUCUUGCACCUUCGUUAAUAGUUUUUUUUUUCAUGACUUCAUGUCUGCCAUGGAAUUUUGACUUCCAGUUAGCCAUUAACUCUGUCCAUUGCAGGUGUACCUUUUGUCUCAAGAGAACUGCCCAUGCUUGUUUGGAAAGAUAUUAGUGAUAAUAACAUGGAUAAAAUCUGUAGAACCAGACAUGCAAGAUUUUUUCACAUAGUUGCAUGCUUUUGACACAUCGAUCACAAAUUACGCCUUUAACAAAAUUUCAUUCAAGUUAACAAACUUGAGGUCAAGCACACACAUGUCAACGAUAGAUGCAAGGGCUUAUUAUUUUCAGUUGUUAGUAAGCUCACUGCUUCUUGCAUCAAUUCCCGGAGUACAAUUAUUUAAACUUUGUGUUUGUGCUGAAAAUAUCAUUGACCAUAUGUGCUGAAAAUACCACUGAACCAUAACUUCAGUUGGCAAACAUGCAUUAACAAGUCAUCAUUUUAUGAAUUCUUGCCUUUUUUAGUGUCAGAAGGAACUGCCAUAUUACCUACCAAUAAACUAGCUUUGAGCAACAAUUAUUUUGUAUUUACAGUGCAGACGAGCUCUUGAUUGAACAGGUCAAACAUUUAAAUUCAAUUGGAAUUUC